GAGAAGGGCUGUGGACGUGAGGCAGGCUCCCGGGCUGCACCACGCACUGGCUCAGUCUUUUCACUGAUUCCAGGAGACGAACGAAGAGGAUGGCUUUGCAGUCGGAGGCCACUGCCAGGGGCAGAAGAUGGAGAGGGUGCUGUGGCUGGCCGGCUGGUGUCUUGGGAAGCAGAAUUGAGGCCAACGGCCCAAACUGGGGGAUAAGACGAGGAAACGACAGGGCGAUGGUGAGGACGGCGCAAGGAGAACAGAACAGCAGUGAAACAGAAAGCAAGGCCAUCAGCUGUGAGUGAGGACGUGGAAGGAGAGGUCGGGACACAUACGAGGAUCAGUGAGCAGACUCAGGACUGACCUGAGGUUCGUGGUCAAAGAGCACUGCAAACCCUGAGCUCCAUGAACGCAGGGACGGCGUCGGCCUUAUUCACUGCUGUAACACAGCACCCAGCAUGCGUGCCAAGCAACCAGCUCCACAGUAAUUCUCAGGACAGCCCUGCAAGGUUUGUUCUGGCGGCCAUGUUGAGAGUAGACGAAGAGACCAAGAGUGGAAGCUGGGAGGCCAACCAGAGGCCACUGCAAUAAUCCAAGUGAGAGAAGAGAGAGGCUUGGACCAGGGCAGUAGCAGGGAGUGUGGUGAGAGUGGUCAGAUCCUGGAAAUAUUUUGAAAUUCAAACCAGUGGGAUUUUCUGAGAAUCUGAAUAUCAGGUUUGAGAGAGAGAAAGUCAAGGUUGGCUGCAAGGAUUUUGGCUUGAAAUCUUGAAAGAUGGUUGCCAUUAACUGACAUGGGGAAGCUGUGGGUAAGGCAUUUUCGUUUUCAUGUUCAAUGGGAGCUCCGUUUGGACAUGUUGGUGUGUAAUGUCCACUGGACACUGGACAUCCAAGUGGAAGUGUUGAGUGACUUGGAUAUAAUUUUGGGAGUCAUGGGUGAAAAGAUGUCACUCAAGCUAUGAGAUCAUACAGGGAGUGGGUCGAGAUGCAAAAGAGAAGGGGUUCAGUAAUAUUUGUCAAACAAAGCACGCUGGGCAUGGGCCUCCCCACUGGACGUAGGGGUGUCUCCCUAAUGGCCUGGGCCAGAUCCAUUCUUACAUUCCCCGAGCACUCACCUGUUGCAGGGAAUGUCACUGAUCUCCAGAAGCCCCCCACCCUUGGUGUUUCAGAAUCAUAAAUACAGGGAUACUCAAAUUUAAACAAUCACAUCAAAAACCUACAUUUUCAAGAGAGAUAAAGUAGGGGGUGAUAAUAGGUUGUAUGAAUGAGUCCCCACAGACCUGCUAUCAGUCAAGCUUCACACACAGCCCUCUCGGGCAUUUCAAACAGGAUCCUGUCUGUAAAAAUAAGGCCCCAGCUUUUAUCAGUGCCCCUGUUGUUCAAAGGGUCACCGGUCCCCAAGCGGAGAUAUGCAAAGGUCACCUGCUCACACCACCCCGUGGGAAUGUUACCUGCCAAGCUGCCCAUCCAGGCGCUCUGUGCCGCAGAAGAGGAUGAGAGCAGAGCAGGGAGGGAGGAAGCAAAGCUUUCUCUGCUUCUGGGCCCUGUCCCCCUGCACCACUUGUGAGUCCCGCCUGUCACUGAAUUCUCUCCCUCUCCCAGUCCUAUGCAGACGGAGGCAUGCCAUCACAGGAAGACACUAAAAGAGUUUGCCUUUUCAGAAAUUACUCUAGUUUGGAGGCCUUUUUUAAAAGCACCUGUGCUGUGGUAGAAGGAACACUGGAGUGAGAGGCCCUCCAUCCUGGUUCUGCCAGGAACCAGCAGGUUGGCUUCGGGAGCAAGUUUUACCUACUUGUGCCUCAGUCUCCUCAUCUGUGAAAUGGGUAUCUGAGUGCCCCAUGAGGUCAUUCUGAGGGUUAAAGGAGUUGAAAUGGGUAAAGUACACAGAAGAACGUCUGUCACAAAUUAAGGUAUAUUUUAUUUCAUGUUGUGUUAGCAAUAAUAUAGCUCUUGGUUGCUGUUAUUAUUGUUGUUGUUGAAUUGACCCUGCCAAUUAGCUUUGUGAUCUUGGGCAAGUCGCCCCACUUCUCAAAGCCCUCAGGCUCCUGUCCUCGGAGGUGCUCUCACAGUAGUCCGUGAACAGCCCUCCCUUCCAGGCUCUGAGAGUGGGGAAAACUCCACAGCCGCACAUUUGAGAGGCCCGGUGACCGCUGAGGCCCUUACAGGAAGUGUGAUGGCACUGUCAGAAGGGGGGGUAUCCGCACAGGAGGUGAAGGGGCUGGGAGGUGGCAAGGCUGCCCUCGCUCCCCUUACUCUGUUUCCCUUUCCCACUGGAACACGGGUAUCUUCUCCAGUCCCCCCACUUCUCCUUUACACCCUGAGUCCCUGCAAGAGCUGUACAGAGUGCUCUGAACAGCCUAUCCUGGUGGUGUUCUUUGUCUACAAUUUCAAGAAAACAAUCACAUGUCAUCUGUUUAUUCCAGGAAACAGGUUCCGUAGUGACGAGAAGCCCCAAACUUCUGAGAAAGAGUCUUUGUUUACAACAUUUGUAGAGUCUUGCUUAUGUUUGCAUUUCCCCUACUAGUAAUAGUUUUGGCACUCCAUCUCCUGCUGCAUGCAAGUGCACUACCUGAGCCCGGGUGCACCUUGCCAAGUUGGAAGGGAAUUGCUUAUAGGCAGCCCGUAGGAAUCGUUGGGUUCCUGGGGCUGUGCCAGCACGGGAAGAGGGAAGUAAAGGAAGAAAAAGUAAGAGAGCCUUGGGCUGGGAAUCAGGAGCACACCCAACUGAGGCACCCCAGGCAAGCUAACCAUUUGGCUCCUGACUCAAUUAGAAAGAGUGCUUAGGGCUUCCCUGGUGGCGCAGUGGUUGAGAGUCCGCCUGCCGAUGCAGGGGACACGGGUUCAUGCCCCGGUCCGGGAAGAUCCCACAUG